CCUACGGGAGGCAGCAGUCGAGAAUCAUUCACAAUGGGGGAAACCCUGAUGGUGCGACGCCGCGUGGGGGAAUGAAGGUCUUCGGAUUGUAAACCCCUGUCAUGUGGGAGCAAAUUAAAAAGAUAGUACCACAAGAGGAAGAGACGGCUAACACUGUGCCAGCAGCCGCGGUAAUACAGAGGUCUCAAGCGUUGUUCGGAAGCACUGGGCGUAAAGCGUGCGUAGGCUGUUGCGUAAGGCGUGUGUGAAAGGCGCGGGCUCAACCCGCGGACGGCACAUGAUACUGCGAGACUAGAGUGAGGGAGGGGGAGCCGGAAUUCUCGGUGUAGCAGUGAAAUGCGUAGAUAUCGAGAGGAACACUCGUGGCGAAGGCGGGUUCCUGGACAUUAACUGACGCUGAGGCACGAAGGCCAGGGGAGCGAAAGGGAUUAGAUACCCCUGUAGUC
rnacentral:rRNA from 1 species